AGUGAUACUAGCUAUAUGGAUAUGCCAAAGAGAAACCAUAAAGUGCUUCCUUUGAGCAAAAAAGUGAAAGUUCUCAAUAAGGAAAGAAAAUAUUGCAUGUCAAAGUUGCUAAGAUCU